GAAAUGCGAUACUUGGUGUGAAUUGCAGAAUCCCGUGAACCAUCGAAUCUUUGAACGCACAUUGCGCCCCUUGGUAUUCCGAGGGGCAUGCCCGUUCGAGCGUCAUUAUACCCCUCAAGCCUGGCUUGGUGUUGGGGCCUGCUGUUACCGGCAGCCCUUAAAAUCAGUGGCGGUGCCAUCUGGCUCUAAGCGUAGUAAUACUCCUCGCUACAGGGUCCCGGUGGAUGCUUGCCAUCAACCCCUAAUUUUCUAUGGUUGACCUCGGAUCGGGUAGGGAUACCCGCUGAACUUAA
rnacentral:misc_RNA from 1 species